CUGGAAACAAGCAUGGCCGGUUCAUUCUGUGUGUCUCAUCUGGUAACUUAGGCUCCAUGGAGAGUACAGAGGCUCUGAAGCUAGACAGGAGCAGGACAGAACCGGAGCAGGUGAGCGUUUCCCUUCUAGGUCCUGUGAGAAACUGCCCAGCCUUGUUGCUUCAGAGCUUUCCUUCCCAGGUGCUACUAUCUGGAAUUUCAGGAAAACGGACUAAAUAAAGCUAUGCGGCUGCCAAGACAGGGCUCUGUGCACCAGCACAUGGACAUAGUUAACACACACGCUUUUCCCUUUGGCCUGUCCACAGCACUUCACACCGUCGUGCAUCUGCAGGGUUUUUAAAAGUUUUUGUUGUUUCAGGAAAAAAAAGGGUAGCUUAAAAAUGGAACAUCUGUUGGUCCUCAUAGGUCUAAAAUUUUUAGGAAGAACAAAUAAACAUAACUAAGUAUCUGUUAUGCAAAGGCAUAAACAUCCCUGUAUUUCAUUUGCUUUUAUAGGAAUCUGGUGUGUAAGUCCCUUUAUUGUGAUUUGAAUUGACCUACUUGAUGGAUCACAGGCCAAUUCCAUCAGGCUACUACCUGUGCAUAAAGAUGGAAGUACAAAAACAAAAACAAAAAAAACUAGGUUCUAUGAAAAAGGGUGAGGCAAAGAUUUGCAUUGAACAGUUAGUAAUAUUCUGAUUUAUAUCAGGAGUUGACAUACUUUCAGAUAUUUUAAGCAUGCUCUUCUGAUUUUUUUUAAAAAUAUUUCUUGUAUUAAAACCAACAAAUUUUUUUAAGAUUUUGCUUUUUUAAAAAUAAGCAGUAUUUAAUUUGAACAGAGAGUACAAAAAUCUAACAUCAUCCAAAUCUUAUGACAAUUAAAAAGCUCACCAUUUGUUUUUACAAAUUCUCUUUUUUAAAGGAAAGUAUUUUUCUUUAAAGGUGGACAACAUGUCUUUAUUUUAUUUAUGCUGAGGGUCAAACUCAGUGCCUCCCAUGUGUGAAGUAAGCGCUGUUAGGCUCUAGUCCCAGACCACUUUUACAAAUUCUGAAGGAAAAAGUUUGAAAUAGUAAACUACAAAAAUAAUGUUGAAACUACUCUUUAGCUUUAAAGACCCUAUUACUGACUUUGGCAAGUUUUAUAUCAAAUAUGAUGUUAGUAGCUUUCACAUUGCAUGAUUUAUCAUUUACAAUGUUAGUGUUUGGGAUUGGACCCAGGGCUGCAUGCAUGUUGGGUAGUAAACUACCAAUGAGCCACACCUCAGCUCCUAAUAUCAACGUUUUCUUCCCCCUGAGCCAACACACUUUACUCCUGAACUGCACUUUCACUUUCACAUAGUCUGUUUUAAAGAGCUGCAACAAGUCGGUGAGGGAGGGGGAACAGGAGCCCUCAGAAGCCAAGAGCCCUGGGACAGGGGAAGGAGCCUUAGGCCGCCAGCCCUCCACCUGCACGCUCACAGCGAGUCAGCAGCUCCUCACACAUGAGUACACACAUGCCUAAAAAGACAGGACAUCAUCUUCACAAGGAAUGAGAGCUGCUCUGGAACAUGGACAGCAGAAAGCCUGGAGCGGCCAGGGCUGUGCUGAGACCCCCAGGGAUGAGACAGUCGAGGCUGGAGCAGAGGGAGGCCUGAAGGGGUCUUGGCCAGGCCAUUUUGACCUUGGCAGCCCUGGUGCCCAGGCUGGACAGUGGGGAAAUAUCUACCUGAUCAGGAGAGACAGGCCCCCCCUCCAGUCAGCCCCCACCCACUGGCCUGUGCACCGAGGUCUCCUUCCUGAGGUAGGGAAGACCCCAGGGCUCCUACUGCUAAUCCCUAUAUCUCCCCUUUUAACUCUAGGCUGAGAUCCCUGAAUCCCUGCACCUGAUGGGCAACAGCCCAACACAAUGAAGCCACAGGAUGACCUUGCAGGAAGUGAGGCAGCUGAGGGCCAUAAAUAGCUCUGGGGCAGCUGUCUUGGGCCCAGGUGGUCACUCUGUCAUGGUCCUGGGAGCCGGGAGAAAGGAGGGGAAGGGACUAGGGUGGUGCUAAUCUGCAAGGGCCAUGCUAGCUUUUGCAUGGGGUACUUCCUGCAGCCAUGUCCCCUCCCCCCAAGGUGGGACUAGCCUCUAGCCAGAGGCCUCUGGAAAACAUUCACCCUAGGAGUGAGGACUUUGUCCAGGCCAGUGUUGGGGAGGAAGUCCUGAUCCUUGCUUCUUUACCACAAGCAGAUCUGAAUUCCUAAUUAGUCAAAAAUGUCCUUUAAAUGGUUCUUGGGGGUAGAGAUAGAAGGGAUAGGGGCCCAGGUCCAGAGAGGGAUGGGAAAUGAUGAUCAACUCUGAGGCUACAAACAUCCCAACAAAGGCCAUCUAGUCUUUUUCUGGGGAAGAGGUUCAAAAACCUUUCUAGCUCCUUACCAGGAAAGCAGUCUUAGAGACUAAGGGGCAGUAAGGAUCUGCCAAUGGGGUAGGGCCCUCCUGCCCCCAGCCACCCCUACACCCUGCCAGCCUUCAAGAGACAGAUUUGGGGGAGAUUUUGAAGACUCUGAUGGCAAGAGAACUGAGGUGUGUGGGAAGGUGGCUGUCACAGAAGCACAGUAGUUCUAGAAAACUAACUGCAGGGAACCAGGUCUAGGCCCAAGCCAGUGAUGGAUGGUGGGCGUGGCUGCAGGUCAUGAAUGGUUCUCCUGGUGGCAAUGGACAGAGGGAUGUGGUGGGGCGGGGUGGGAGGGAGGGUGAGUGGGUGGUCAGAGUCUGCUCAUUUCUGACUGAACAGCCAGCCCAGCAGAACCACACCAGCCAUAGUCAUGUCCAUCAGGAAACAAUGGUUGGAGCCUUCCUGGUCCUUCCAGCUACUCACUGCCACAUUAUUCCCACGGAGUUCCACAAAAGUGUCCCAGCUGCCGCUGUCCUGGAUCCUGUUCUCUAGGUGAUCAUUCAGGUAAGUGGCCACCCAACUUGCGAUCUGACUCACCAAUACCUGCUUCUCCUUGUCUAUGCCUUCCACACACAGGGUUCCUCCAAAGGAGCAAAAGGCCACAAUGCAGCCCCAGUUGACCACAUCCUGGAAGAGUUCCUUCACUACCUGUUCAAAGGUCUGAUGUGCUGUCUCUGGGGUGACGUGGAGCUUGGACGUCAUGUCACUGAAUGCCUGCAGGUACCUGCUGCAGUUCAGACUUGUCGCCUGCCUCCCUCAGUGCUUGCUUCAGUCACCUCCGGGGCAUCCAAACUUCUGUGAUGGCCAGUGGCUCUACUCACCAUGGGGCUGCCCAGCAGACGCCAGGAUGGGUUGUCAUUGAUGGCACUGGUGGGUUCCACCUCUGAUUCAGUCCCUUCUGGGGCUUCAAUGCUGUUCCCUUCCACAUGGCUUAACUGACACCAGCUGUAUCCUUUCUGGGAAAGUUUAUGGGACAGAAAGUCAACCACUAGUUCUAGGUGGCCCUGAGACACUUUUAAAAUAGAGAUGGGCUCAACCACUCCUUGGUCAAAAACACGUGUUUUUGACCAAGACUGAGUCUGGUCUCUGCUUGAUGAUUAUCUUAUGAGAUGAAAAGUCAAGAUAAGGUUGUGUAGCUGUCCUGUUAGGGGCACCUGCCGACCCUCUGGAGGAGCGUGUAGAUCUAUGGCGGAGUCCAUCUCAGGAUGUCCCAGGAAGGCCAAGGCAGGUCCUCCAUCUCCACUCAGGGCCCGUCCCCACAGGCCCAGCCUGCGUCCUUCUCCCAGAACCCGCUGACUGAUCAGGGUCUCCACCUGUGCUGACACCCUCCAGUCGCCAUAACCAACGAAUUUUAUAUCAUGUGCUAUUUGGGAAAUUGCAGAAUUUGAAUAGUGAAAUCCCAUGUUGGAAGAAGCCAUUUAGCAUCUUAAGGGCAAAUCUAAACAUUUUCCCCGAUCUAAUCAUUUUUAUUUUCUUAGUUAUCUGCCUCAUGCCCAUAAUAUAAAUGUAUAUUACUAAAUGUAUGGGAGUGAGAAAUAAGUUUCUUAAUGUUAACAAUGAGUUUCUAAAAUGCUCAGCAAUGAAUAGUAUUAGAAGUAUUAGGCAAAAAAUGUUCCUGGCUGCACCAACAGAUGAGUGCAGUCCAUGUUCUAUGGAAAUGUGCUCCCUGGCUCAGCAUUGGUGAGACUGAGAAUCAUAAGGCAGAAAUGAACAAGCCAAUCAGUUCCUUUUGUCUCCAUCUACUUUUAUUGUAGAAUAAAUGAUACUGCAUUCUUACUGCCACUUUUGAUAGAGUUGUCAUCAAAACUGUUGACAAUUUCCCGUCCCCAAUGGGGUCUCCCAUGCAGGUGGCCGCUUUCAGCUUUAGAACCCAGGAUUUCAGCAUCCGAGUCAUGAACAGAGCAGUCCUUUCUGGAAAGAAGCAUUUAUGCAAGCAUUUGGGGGAGCAGAAAGGAAAAAAAAAAUCUCAUAUGCUUCUUCCUAGUCAAUUUCAACCACCUCUGCCA
rnacentral:lncRNA from 1 species